UUGAGCACAUAAAUCUCAGAGGAAACUUGAAUCUUGUCUGGAUGUUACAGGGACAGAUGAUCACACGUGUGUUUAUCCGGUGAUGAAGGAAUGCUGCCAUCAAAGGCUUUGAAGCUUUGUGGUGAAGCAGGACCUACAAGACAAGGUGACUGCAGCAAAAAAGGAAAACCUGAAACAAAAAUAUAAAGAUGUGAAAUGUCCUUAGACUGGUGUGAGCACUGAGGAUGGAGAGCCACAGCAGAUCCUGGAAAUGGUGUAGAGCCAUGGAUGAGACCCUCCAUCACUCCUCCUUCCAAGUGACUUGAUCAAGGACACACUGGAGGUGAUGCUGCAGAGAUUGAACCAGCAACCUUCUGCUGACCAGCUCAGUGGUUUAGCCUACCACACCACAAAAUCAUGCUGAUGGAGAGCACAUGAAUGUUUGCAGCAGACACAGCAGCAGCCAGAUUGUCCUGCACACCUUCUCCCACUCUUGCUUCAAGGUUGUGGGGUUCAGGGGUCCAUCAUCAUCAUCUUCCUCAUCCUCUGGAUCAAUGAUGUCCCCAUUGAGAAGAGCAGCAGUGAGGGACAUGAUGGAUGAAGGUGUUCAUCAGAAUAAAGCUGCAGAAUGGGCACAGCUGUGUGAGAUGGCAGUAGGAUUGUAAAUGCGUGAUUGUUAGAUCAAUAAAUUUGAAUAAAGCUUUGUUUCAUGUUGUUGACUUGUAUAUGCGUUUAUUUAUUGUCAUUAUUACUUUUAUUAAUUCUUUUACUUUUUUAUUAACUAUGCUAUUAUUAUCAGUAAAUUUAUAUAUUUUAUUAAGCAAUGAAUUAAUGCAUGAAUUGACUAUAAAUUG